GAUGAACGCUAGCGGCAGGCCUAAUACAUGCAAGUCAAGGGGUAGCAAUACACCGGCGGACGGGUGCGUAACGCGUACACAACGUGCCCUUGAGCGGGGGAUAGCAUUGGGAAACUGAUGGUAAGACCCCAUGGUGUUGGAGAUAGGCAUCUAUAUUCAACUAAAGGAUACACUCAAGGAUCGGUGUGCGUUUGAUUAGCUAGUUGGUAGGGUAACGGCCUACCAAGGCGACGAUCAAUAGGGGGUGUGAGAGCAUGGCCCCCCACACGGGUACUGAGACACGGACCCGACUCCUACGGGAGGCAGCAGUAAGGAAUAUUGGACAAUGGACGGAAGUCUGAUCCAGCCAUGCCGCGUGAAGGAAGAAGGCGCUCAGCGUUGUAAACUUCUUUUGGACGGGAACAAAAUGCGCCACUUGUGGUGUACUGAGGGUACCGUCAGAAUAAGCACCGGCUAACUCCGUG
rnacentral:rRNA from 1 species